CCUACGGGGCGCAGCAGUGAGGAAUAUUGGUCAAUGGGCGCGAGCCUGAACCAGCCAAGUCGCGUGAGGGAAGACGGUCCUAUGGAUUGUAAACCUCUUUUGUCGGGGAGCAAAACCCGCCACGUGUGCCGGUCCGAGAGUAUCCGAAGAAAAAGCAUCGGCUAACUCCGUGCCAGCAGCCGCGGUAAUACGGAGGAUGCGAGCGUUAUCCGGAUUUAUUGGGUUUAAAGGGUGCGUAGGCGG
rnacentral:rRNA from 1 species